GGUAAGUGUAUAGAAACACUUCCGUUAGUUCCAGGGGUUAUAGAGGCUCGUGUAGCCUCUUCACCAGGAUCACCUGGCCUCUGCAGGCACCUUCUGAUUCUGAGAUGCCAUCCAAAUAUCCCCCCUUCCUGCAGAAGCCUCACAUCAUGGAAGAAAUCUACCACCACCCCACUUCUCAGCACCUGGGGGUCUAAGGACUGUCUACACCAAGGGGCAAGACCUAGAGGUCAGAGGAAGACUUCUUGGUGUCUCUCAGUUUACUAUCAGUUUUCAUUAUCGAAUUUUCACAAAGAGGUUGCUUUGUUGUUUGCAGUUACAGUUUUGUGUAACUGUGAUACUGUGUCAUCUGUUUGCCGCUCGGACUGUAUCUUCUUCCAAUUUGUGCAGAAAUGGAGGUCCUCCACUCGCACACUGAAAGAGGACUUUUCGGCCAGAUACCAAGGAAACACACCUGGGAAAGCCAAGGGGAGAUGGGCAGAUGGAUGAACAAAAGUCGCUCACCGUCACCUUGAGAAAGGCACCCCCGGCAUAUAGUGGGAGGACCAUUCCAUCCGCAGCAAAGGUGGAGGGAACCGAUGAGCCCGCGUUUAUCCAUCCUCUACCACUUUCACACACUUGCUAAACAUUUACUCUGGUGUUUCUGAGGGUAAAAUAUAAACAGGGCACAGGCAACCCAUGAGUUCAGAAUAGUUGUGUUUUGGGUCCCCAAAACCACCUUCAGUCACAGUAUUUCACUAGAGGGAUUCAGCAAAGCCAUUAGACGCUCAUAUCAGGUAAGACAUUCCAAGGGGUUAGAGGUGACCUCCCAGGAAUCAGGCAAGGCUCUGACUUCAGAAAGUGCAGGAUGUGGACCCCUGCUGAGUAAUCCUUUACUGCAUCCUAAAACCAUCCGGGCUUCCCUGGGUCUAUAGCUUGCAGAUGUCAGGUUGUGAGACAUCUCAGCCUUCAAAAUCAUGUGAGCCAAUACC
ensembl:lncRNA